GAGGCAGCUUGACAGUAGUUCCACACUCCAAUACUUGAUCUCCAUUGAGAGACAUCAAUCAUCUUGUACUCUAUAAGUAUGAAGGACAAAGUCAAAAUUAGAAAGCAGGACUUUAUGAAGAGAAAACUCUUUCUGCUAAAACCACAAGCUAGAGGAAGUCCAGGGCUGUUAUAAUAACAUUCAUGUGAUCUAUGACACUACUGCUAAAAUUAUAGUAAUAUUUUGUCAAUGAUGAUGCUCCUUUUCUUCACAC